GAGAUCACUAGCUUUUGGGGUCCGAUUAAGCCAUGCGAGCGGUGGGCAGGCCUUCGGGUGCUGCCCCGCAAACGGCUCAGUAACACGUAGUCAACCUACCCUUGGGUCGAGGACAACCCCGGGAAACUGGGGAUAAUCCCCGAUAGGUGAGGGUACUGGAAUGUCCCUUCCUGAAAGCUCCGGCGCCCAAGGAUGGGACUGCGGCCCAUCAGGUAGUCGGUGGGAUAACGGCCCACCGAGCCUAUAACGGGUACGGGCUGUGAGAGCAGGAGCCCGGAGAUGGAGACUGAGACAAGGCUCCAGGCCCUACGGGGCGCAGCAGGUGCGAAAACUCCGCAAUGCGUGCAAGCGUGACGGGGGGACCCCAAGUGCCGAUGGUCUUUGAUCGUCGGCUUUUCAGGAGUGUACAAAGCUCCUGGAAUAAGGGCUGGGUAAGACUGGUGCCAGCCGCCGCGGUAACACCAGCAGCCCGAGUGGUGGUCGCGUUUAUUGGGCCUAAAGCGCUCGUAGCCGGGCCGGUAAGUCCCUUGUGAAAUCGGAUGGCUCAACUGUUCGGCUUGCAAGGGAAACUACUGGCCUUGGGGCCGGAAGACGCCGAGGGUACUCCGGGGGUAGCGGUGAAAUGCUGUAAUCCUCGGGGGACUACCAGUGGCGAAAGCGCUCGGCGAGAACGGACCCGACGGUGAGGGGCGAAGGCUGGGGGAGCGAACCGGAUCAGAUACCCGGGUAGUCCCAGCUGUAAAGUAUGCGGGUUAGGUGUAGGGCGUCCCAUGAGGGCGCUCGGUGCCGUAGGGAAGCCAUUAAACUCGCCGCCUGGGGAGUACGGUCGCAAGGCUGAAACUUAAAGAAAUUGGCGGGGGAGCACCACAAGGGGUGGAGCCUGCGGUUC
rnacentral:rRNA from 1 species